rnacentral:lncRNA from 1 species
AAACGUAUGAAAUCCCUACCUUUUCUCCAACUUUUCACUCCACUUAUUUUUCUAUUGUAUCCACCCUAAACGGGGAGAAUUCUAUUCUUGCAAAUUAAACAAACUGGGAUUCGAACAGGGAAAUAAAAUAUAAAGCGAAUGUGCAUUGAAGAGAAAUUCGGCAAAUAUUUAUCGGAAUGAAAUACCAUUAUUUAACUUGGUGGGCAGAUCCUAAAACAUAAAAUUCAGAUAAUUAUCCAGCUUUCGAAGCUGACUUAUAUUUUUUACACAGAAACUACAAAUAUUAGCAUGCAACUCUCAAGGUACAUCUUCAGAUUGUGAACACCAUAGAAAUUCAUUCAGCCAACAUCCAACUUAACACUACAAAGAUAUACUAGUAUAAUAUCCUGUGGAUUAAAAAAAGUAAGGCAACUGGAAUUCUAACUGGAAAGUGAAUAGAAAACAAAUGUGCAUCAAGGAGCAACUCAGCAACUGUAUUAACUGAACGAAACACCAUUUGUUAAGUUGGUGGGUGAAUCUUAAUACAUUAUAAUAGAGCAAUGUACCAUUCAUUUUGCACCUCAAAAGAAUUUAUUUCUCCUGGUCCUGGGUUUCCUCUUCCUGCUGUUGUCCAUAACGACGCUUAAAUUUGGCAAUCUGUCCAAUACUUUGAGCCAUCUGCCGCUUAGCCCUGAAAUGAUAGACUUUACCAACUUGGUGUAUUUUGCUCAUCAUAAUGGGCAUCAAUCGACCACUCUGGGUCACAUAGGAUAUCCAUUGCAUCUGAGGAUGGAUUCCUUUCUUCAUCUUUCCUUCAAUAAACUCACAAUUGAAAAAUUACCUAGCAAUAAGCCCCAUUUUCAUUACCGGAGCACAAAUGAAGCUUGAACGGGAAAUUUUUUUAAAAAUUCCAGCAAUUAAGUAGCAGUGUCAAAGUUUGAACAAGAAAAUGCAUUGGGAAUCGUACGUGAAAGUUGAGUAAUUAAGCUGGUUAAUUUCAUGAAAAUAACAUCUCUGGAGCAUUUUAUCAAUCACGUUAANNUUACACAAAGCUAUAAACUCAGCCCCUUUUCCUGAAAAAGUUAAUGCCAUUACAUUACGUUUCUGUCCAUGAAUCAACCCUUGAGGAAUUUUAUUUUAAUUCAUGUAAAUGAAAAAUAUAAAUUAUAAGAGUUGAGUUCAAAUUAAAUCAUUCACAACAAACAAAUCCAGUGGAUUUCAACAUAUAAAGCCCGUUUUAACACAUACAAUCCGAUACUACCUUCCAAGUUUGGUGAUGAGGAAGUUGAGUAGAAAUCACUGCAACAUAAGAUAGAUUGGUGCCGUGAUGAAUAUGUUUCCAAUUUUAAGUAAUACCGAGAAAGAAAACCUAGGCUGGCCGCUCUUCCUCCUGUCAAACAGACAUGGGUUAUUCUUUGAUAGGCCCGCCUUUAAUUGGGUUUUACAAAUAUUUUUUUCUAGACUUGUCAUUUAAAAAUCAGAUUUCAACAUUAUUUUUUCAAAAAAUUCCAGUAUAUAUCAUACUCUACCUCACUUAAUAUCACCCCAUCUAUUCUUUUACCCAUUUCCCA